rnacentral:tRNA from 1 species
GGGCCCUUAGCUCAGCUGGUAGAGCAACUGACUUUUAAUCAGUAGGUCGUGGGUUCGAAUCCCGCAGGGCUCACCA